rnacentral:rRNA from 1 species
ACCCGCUGAACUUAAGCAUAUCAAUAAGCGGAGGAAAAGAAACCAACAGGGAUUGCCUCAGUAACGGCGAGUGAAGCGGCAACAGCUCAAAUUUGAAAUCUGGCUGCCUGUGCAGUCCGAGUUGUAAUUUGAAGAGGAUGCUUUUGGCAAGGUGCCUUCCGAGUUCCCUGGAAUGGGACGCCAUAGAGGGUGAGAGCCCCGUAUGGUCGGUCGCCGAGCCUCUGUAAAGCUCCUUCGACGAGUCGAGUAGUUUGGGAAUGCUGCUCAAAAUGGGAGGUAAACCCCUUCUAAAGCUAAAUAUUGGCCAGAGACCGAUAGCGCACAAGUAGAGUGAUCGAAAGAUGAAAAGCACUUUGAAAAGAGAGUUAAACAGCACGUGAAAUUGUUGAAAGGGAAGCGCUUGCGACCAGACUUGUGCUCGUCGAAUCAGCCGUCGCUCGUCGGCGGCGCAUUUCGGCGGGCUCAGGCCAGCAUCAGUUCGCUGCAGGGGGAGAAAGGCGGUAGGAAUGUGGCUCUUCGGAGUGUUAUAGCCUACCGUAUAAUACCCCUCGGUGGACUGAGGACCGCGCAUCUGCAAGGAUGCUGGCGUAAUGGUUGUCAGCGACCCGUCUUGAAACACGGACCAAGGAGUCGUCCUAAUAUGCGAGUGUUCGGGUGUAAAACCCCUACGCGUAAUGAAAGUGAACGGAGGUGAGAGCUUCGGCGCAUCAUCGACCGAUCCUGAUGUUCUCGGAUGGAUUUGAGUAUGAGCAUAUUGGGCCGGACCCGAAAGAAGGUGAACUAUGCCUGUAUAGGGUAAAGCCAGAGGAAACUCUGGUGGAGGCUCGCAGCGGUUCUGACGUGCAAAUCGAUCGUCAAAUAUGGGCAUGGGGGCGAAAGACUAAUCGAACCUUCUAGUAGCUGGUUUCCGCCGAAGUUUCCCUCAGGA